UACGAGGGGGGCGAGCGUUGUUCGGAAUUAUUGGGCGUAAAGGGUGCGUAGGCGGUUCCGCAAGUCCUGUGUGAAAUCUUCGGGCUCAACUCGAAGUCUGCACGGGAAACUGCGGGGCUUGAGUGUGGGAGAGGUGAGUGGAAUUCCCGGUGUAGCGGUGAAAUACGUAGAUAUCGGGAGGAACACCUGUGGCGAAAGCGGCUCACUGGACCGCAACUGACGCUGAGGCGCGAAAGCUAGGGGAGCAAACAGG
rnacentral:rRNA from 1 species